UACGUAGGGUGCGAGCGUUGCCCGGAUUUAUUGGGCGUAAAGGGCGCGUAGGCGGUCACGCACGUCCGUUGUGAAAUCGCUCGGCUCAACUGGGCGGGGUCAGCGGAUACGGCGUGGCUGGAGCAAGCUAGGGGGCAAUGGAAUUCCCGGUGUAGUGGUGGAAUGCGUAGAUAUCGGGAGGAACACCAGUGGCGAAGGCGGUUGCCUGGAGCUUUGCUGACGCUGAUGCGCGAAAGCGUGGGGAGCGAACCGG
rnacentral:rRNA from 1 species